CUUUACUGUAUCUAACUCGUUUUUACCUAGUGGCGAAUCCCUCGGUUGGUUUCGGGUGCGGAAAUGAAUAAAAAUUAUUGCGUUUUUCCUUUCUUCGCUCUAACGUCGGACAAAGGAGACGUGUUACACGCGGUUGGAAAGGAAAAUUAUCAGGGCGGCCUCCGUUCCUGCAUCUUGGCUGGUCGAAGGAUGGAAGAUAUUAUUACUGGAAAGGAAGUUGUCGCCGAGGCUUCCUCUUAGUGUCCUUUCCUAUCGUCUGGAACCAUAGCUGUUUGACUGUAUCGCUUCACACUUUUGUUCGGUGACCGUAAUAUGGUGUUUUUGGGCCCCGUAGUGGAAGAUAUGCUUUUCAUGUAAAGGAGUCUGCGACGGUGACUCGCUCUUAGUGCUUCUAUUGAAGAAAGCCAUAGCCGACUGUGUAGAGGUUGCUACAUUUGAAAUAUGCUCUCAACUCUCGUUCAUCAGUCCCAUUGAUCUGAGAUUCAUGUGAUAAUAAUCCAAUGCUUUAUACGGAACCGAACAAAUUCUCUGCACCGGACAUCCAGCACGAACCAGCUCCAACCUCACAGGCCCACGGACACUACGAACUGCUGGAAUCAAUUGUGCAAUUGUGGCUCGGACUUGAGAAAACCCAUGUUGGGCGCCACUGUAACUGAAUUUUCUCUCGGCAAUAGAGGUUUACCUUAGUGCACGGAUUAGACCGUAGAUCCUCUCCCGUUAGUCGCAGCUCGAUGUGUCGGUAGAGCUAUGAGGUUAGGGCGGGUCUGCAACCAAAGUAAGGGAGAGAAACCGGUGAAUCUACGUUCACCCAACAAACGCACGGCGUGGUGCACCCAAACACUCUUCACGCCUAGGGUGAAGACGCUGAUUUGGGUUAUGACAGGUAUCAGACUCACCUCCUCCGACUGCUCUCGUCGGUACAGGACUCGUCGUGAUGGAUACUGCUUUUAGCACGUGGUUGAGGGCCGACACUUUUGCGAAAAUAUGCGCUAUUUUCGCCUCACUAAUACUUCUUAGUAACUGGUACGAACUUCGCGAUCAACGGGCGGUCCACGACCGUCCUCCGUUGCUAUUAAAACACUUCCGGAAAACUAAAUGAAUAAAGAAAGGACUUUAGACGCGGAAUGCGUUUUCUCGAUGUUCACUCUCUCACAGUUCACUCUAGAAGAUCCGAAGAUUCCCAAUUGCGGCUUGUAUCUACCUGAACCGUAUCGCGCGCGAUCGAUCUGUCAACUGACAGCGGUUGACGUUUAUGUCAUCGUAUAAUCUGAUACUCAAACCACUAACGGCAGCUGAUGAUGGGAUAGGGUUGUAUAAGAUCGAUUGGGAUUAGCGGUUGGAUGGGAAUAGGAUCGUGAGUUUACGGUUUUGGCUUGUCCUCGCCUGCCAGUCACCUCCUCGUUGAAUUCACCGAUAGGAGAUUCAAGUGCCUGAAUGCACCAGACAGCACCGAGAGUUGAGCUAAUGAUAAACUCAUCGAUCUACUCACU